UUGAUGUAGAUACUUGGCACUGAAUUCAUUCAACUGUCCCAAAAAGAAUGACAACUUAAAUUGACAUACAGAUGAUGGAGAAUACGUAUAACCAACUAGGGGAAAAAAACAAUUAGUAAAGAAGAGCUAAUUAAUUGUGUCUAAAUCUACAUAACCAAAGUAAACCAACAAAAUAAUGGUUGAUCAUGAUUAGCACUAUGUGGUUCAUAUAAGCUGUCUUGCCUUAUUAAGGACUUAAACAAUUGAUAUUACUUAAAAAAAUAUAAUAUUUGGCGGAAAACAAUACGUGCUUAAGUACACAGUAGCCUCAAUAAUGUUAGCACUUCAUAAUGGAAAGAAAAAAUAAAUAAAGAGCAAUAAAAUAAAUAAAGAGCACAUAAAAUAAAGAACUAAAAUAAAUAAAUAGCACAUAAAUAAAGAAUCAAAAUAGUCCCAAAAAAAAGGGACCAAAACAGCCCAAAAAAUAACAUUCAAUUUCAACUCAAAAUCCAAAAAAAAAUAACAUAAAAUAAAUGUUAUAUCCCGUAUUUUUUUUUUUCGUCAGAUUAUUUGUAAGCUGAGGUGGGGCCCACACAUCGAGAUUUUGUUUGGACAUCUGAAAAGUCAUAUGAAUCACAUAUGUGAAGUUAAACACAACUCAAGAAGGACCCUUGGGCCAAAUCAAAGUGGAAGUCCUCCAAACGAAUAUUUUUAAGAAAACGUUUUCGGGUGAUCUGACUUCUAGGGGCAAAAACGGUAUUAUAAGUUUGGAAUUUGGAAAAUAUCAAGAAAUAGAAGUUGUAGAUAAUUGAAUUAGCUUUCCAACCAUAGGUCGUGGGUUCCCAGGUGACGUCGGUACAAGGAGAUAUGGACGUUUUAAGGUCGAAAGGUCAGUGGGCUAGGCCCAACUCGGGAUUAACCGAGUUGGCCCAAAAAAAAAAUGAAGAGAAAAAUCAGGCCCAAUAGGGGACAUCCGGCCAUGGUCCAUAAAAAGGACCCAAGCCCAAGUGAAUUAUCCAUGUGAUAAUUAAAUAAAAGGGACCAUUUAAUUGUCUUGAAACAUAUAGAAGUUUCAAGACAAAUUGAGAAAGAGUGAACAAAAGAAACAAGAGCAAAAGAACUAAAGGCCAUACGGCCAUGGAGAAAAAAAUUGACCCUUUGAAAUUUUAUCCCAAAAAUUAUUUUCUUGUGGUAUUUCUACUAAUUCAAGGGUCCUUUACAACUUGGUGUAAUUAUUUUGGAAGAAAGAGCACUUGUUUCUUCAAGUUGACAACUUGGUCAAGUGAAAAAGAUUGUAGAAAAAGAUUUUGGCGAACUUGAAACUUGAUUUUGGAGACGUGUAUGAAGCGGAAAAGGUCAGCAGACAGGUGGACGUGAUCCUUAGAAGCUCUACCAGCCGCACUUGACAGCGCUCCAGUUGUUCCGGAGCCUCACUCCAGCGGUACUAUUUUAUGCAUAUACAUUCGGGCUUGGUAGCACCCCGGCCCUUUCUAUGUAUAAGUGUACUAUGUCUAGAGGCUCGUAGACAGAUACGUACAGUCAGUCAGGUACAGAUAUAUGUAUAGUGUUUUGGCAUGUUAAUAUUGUUGUACAAGGUAAUAA